CUCUCUCUCUCUCCAUUUCCAGCUGGGCUACAUUGUAAUACACACACACAUGCACGCUCACUCACACUCGCUCUGCCUGUCUGACACAGACUCUCUACUUAGAGCGCUGGAGAGAGGACUGAGGCUCACACUAUCAGCACAGCUUCUCAAUGGGGGGAUGCAGCCAAGAGCAGACAGAGCAGUCAUUCCACUGGAGCCUUCCGCUGCACGCGUGAGAAGGAGACGACAAGUGAGGAGGGUAAAUUAGCUCCCUGUCAUCACAGUAAAGGAGUUUCACUGACGGAGAAGAGACACUGAAGGAAGGAGGGGAGAUCCGCACAAAUGUGGCUGAUACAGCAAUGACAUGGUCAGCUGUCCAUCACUUCAAACCUUUGGUCAGUUUGUCACACAGACCCCUGGGUGUUUUUGUUUUUUGGUGACUGUUUGAAGGACUUCAAGAGGACCUGAGCAGCAGCAGCAGCAGGAGGUCCAGAGAAGGGAAUAUUGAAGAGGUGGAGGGAAAGAAAAACAAAACACAGAACAGCAACAGCACCUUUUUGUGUCUGGUGGUAGUGGAAUUUCAGGCGGAAAUCCCUGGCUUCCAAGUAUGGAUGGAUUUAAGACAGAGGAGUGAGUCUGCUGGGCGGGCGGGCAGACAGUGAUUCUGACUGAACUCCUUUCCUCCUGAACACACCGCUCAGACUCGGCCUUACCAUGUCCUGGUUGUUGGCCAUGUGGAUUAGCCUCGGCUUCCUGCUGCUGUGCCAGGCCACACUCUACCAGACCAUCCAGCAGCACCAUGUGGCCCGGCCCGGUCGCACUGACAUCCUCACCCUGGAGGGCGGCACGUGUGAGGUGAUAGCCGCCCACCGAUGCUGUAACAAGAAUCGUAUUGAGGAGCGCUCUCAGACGGUCAAGUGCUCCUGUUUACCCGGGAAAGUGGCCGGGACGACACGCAACAAACCCUCCUGUGUGGAUGCGUCCAUUGUUAUUGGGAAAUGGUGGUGUGAGAUGGAACCAUGUCUGGAGGGAGAAGAGUGCAAGACUCUGCCUGACAACUCUGGAUGGAUGUGCUCCUCCGGGAACAAAAUCAAGACCACAAGGGUGAGACUCCGCACACACUUGAGCGCAAAUGCAUUUAUCUGCAUGCACACAUCUGCAGCCACAAUACAUAAAUGCACUUGUACAUAUACAACACGUGCAUAUGCUUGUUGUGUAUGCACUGCUUGCGCACCUUUUAACUCAGACAUGCUCACACUUGCACAUCCACAUGUGCAACGGUUUAUUCCCAAUAUACCAAACAGACUUCAUGCUACAUUUUAACCAUUUUUUCUUUGACUUGAAGUAAGUUAAUCGCUACAAAUACCAAAGGAGGAAUUCUCCUGCUGUCGUUGAAUAAUGAAGCAUACACACUGUCAGACCUCUAUGUAAAAAGGAUGUGCACAAACCACACUGUACAGAGAUUAAUCAGAAGCCAUGUGUGCCCUCUGUAUUAACAAAUUCUGUUUGGUGUAAGCGAAACUACGUAAGGUUCCAUCGUAGUAAAGAAAAAAAUAAGACCGGCAGUAAACAAACAGGUGGGCUCUGCCUCAGGCCACACUCCUCUCAGAUAUAAAGUUAACGGCCACUCUGUUUCUCCACUGCCUUUCGGCUCUGUAAACCGAUUCCGAAUGCAGCAUGCAAAAAUAAUGAAGGGAGUUAAGUUCUGGAAGCCUGCAGUCCAGCACUGUGUGACAGGUUGAUCACCUGAUUUGUAUUCACUUAAUUGACCCCCUCCUUUGCUUCUAGUGCUUGGUGACGAUGACUUUGAAUAGAAGCAGAGACUAAUGUGAUGGCAGGGAAACAAGGAGCUGUCAGUGAAGGUUAGACCGCAUGGGGCUUCCCAAGGUUGUUCUGUAGAUUUAUAUGCCAGCAGACAGACAUAAAGCUUUCACUGGGGCCCUCACAGCCACCACAGGCUUAAAAAAUUUCCCAAAGAAGUUGAUGGAACGGGGUCUUGCAAAGCCCGUCAAGGUAAGAUGCAGUGUUUGGUUCACUCUAAAGAAUGCAUCUCUAAUUCUCAAUUCAGUCCUUUGCACAAUUUGAAACAACUUGAAGUGAUGAUUGUCUUAUGCAUCUUCAGAUAUUUUUUUUCUCUUAAGAUCAAGAUUGUUAAUUUCUGCACACAAAUAGAGAAAAAGCAAUACGGUAAAAUGACUUUGGUCUAAUAUCGAAACCAACAGGGCCAAAAGGUCUGGCCUGAAGCUGCUUUUCUACCCAAUACACACGUGUCCUUUUUUCUUGACCCUCUCUUUGCAGAACACCCAGCCAUACUCCCCUUUUUAGCUUCCGGAAGCAAAAUGCAGAGGAUGCGUCAACAGAAAUUGAGCUGCAUUCUUGCUUCUGUAAAGAGGGGGAGCCCUUCAUUGCCUGUUCUGUAUCAGCAGACAAGGCAGGCCCUUUUGUUUGUGGAAGUCACAGUGAGAGCGAGGCUGGGGAGCACCUUCCAAAAUACUCGCCCACCAUAUAUCUGCAUUACCCGCUCCACUGGCUAAAUAGAUCAAUCCAUUUCUGCUCCCUCCAAACAAUUAUACACCUUAGGAGAGACAGGCGGAAUGAGAGACUGUAAUAAAAACAUCUCUGCUCUUACUCAUUGCUCUCCCCUUUUGACGAUAGUGAAACAAAUAUGUUCAUUUGAUAACUUCCCUGUUAGUGCAUUGAGUGAAUGUUAAUAUGGUGACAGUAUGAAGGCAGGGAUGUGAUACAUACCUAAAAAAAACUCUUGUCAGGUAUUCCAUGAAUAUUAAUGGCUUUUUAGCAAUUUCACACUGCAACAUAACCACUUAUUCGUGUACAGUAGUUGUUUUAGGUGUAUAAGAUCACAGGAACGCCACUACUGAGUGUGUAAUUCCUCAAAUUAGUGAGUGCAAAGAAUUCAAUUUAAGUGAAUCAGCCCUUUCGCACCACCGUCUUUCACACUCUACGUGUUUCCUCUCCAGUUAGUCUGACAUGAUUUACUUGCUGUUCAGAGAGCCACAUGUCCCUUAUUAAAAGGGGCACAGGGCACUUUUUCAAGCAAAAUAACACACUGUGACAGGAUGUAGCCCAUCUGUGAGACAGUCUGAGAACAAAAGUGACCUGCCAGCAGAUCUAUCACCAUCUAAUUUGUCAAAUCGAGAGACCACACUCUGCAGUUGCUCAAAAUGAACUCCAAACGGCCGCCAUGCCACAUACAACUGAGCUUCACCUGGAAUGAUCUGUCUGCAUCUGUACCAACAACACCUCUCCUUCUCCGUCAGCCCUGUAUAAUGUCAUCAUGGUGACAAACUGAACAAUUUCCGCAAAUGAUAAACAGUGUAAUACCUAAGAUAAAUAUUAAAGGUCUUUCUAUAAAGGUAUGAGACUGUAGGCUGAAAGAUGCCGUCCAGACUGCCUGAAGUGCCCAAAUUGUCAUCCUUAUGACAUAUUUAUACAGGUUUAGGGCGAAGGAGUUCAUUCCAAGUGCUACUGAUUAAUUUAUACUCCUCUUCUUUUCUUUUUCCAUUGUCAAUGUCACAUUAAAUGGAUCUUGAUGUA